CUGGAGAGAGGCAAGUUGCUUGCAUGGGACUGUAAGUUGUUCGGUCUGGAUGGAGGACAGAAUACACAAAGGACUGAGGAAAAAUGAAGGUGGUGAGACACAAGGACAAAUCAUCGAGGCCUCCUGAGCCACAUUAAGGUGUCUGAAAUUUAUCCUGGAGGACAGGUGAAAGAAAUUCCAGUGAGGUAGAAGGAGAAGAGGGACAUCUCAUCAACCUCAGCUGUCUCGGUUGCCUGUGCCUCCAAGAAAUCACCUGAAACUCAAGACAGGUUUGAAGAAAAACAGUGCUUACUGUCAGGAAAUAAUGAAGACUUAUAGAGAUCAGCCCUGAUCACUUAUUUGUUCAACAUAUUGAUAAUUCUCAUUGGAAACAGUUUCCCAUCAGUGCUCCAGAGUCUCAAAGGCCAGGGUGGAUGGCAGAUGUUGCACGUGAGCUGCGGAAUUCCGGCCACCCCAGAGAGCUCUUCCUGAAUUUCUAGCUGAUGUUUAACAUGAGAAUAAAACAUUAACAG
ensembl:lincRNA